rnacentral:rRNA from 1 species
GACAGAGGAUGCAAGCGUUAUCCGGAAUGAUUGGGUGUAAAGCGUCUGUAGGUGGCUUUUUAAGUUCGCCGUCAAAUCCCAGGGCUCAACCCUGGACAGGUGGUGGAAACUACCAAGCUAGAGUACGGUAGGGGCAGAGGGAAUUUCCGGUGGAGCGAUGAAAUGCGUAGAGAUCGGAAGGAACACCCAAGGCGAAAGCACUCUGCUGGGCCGACACUGACACUGAGAGACGAAAGCUAGGGGAGCAAAUGGG